CGGCGGACGGGUUAGUAACGCGUGGGAACGUGCCCUUCUCUGCGGAAUAGCCACUGGAAACGGUGAGUAAUACCGCAUACGCCCUUCGGGGGAAAGAUUUAUCGGAGAAGGAUCGGCCCGCGUUAGAUUAGAUAGUUGGUGGGGUAAUGGCCUACCAAGUCUACGAUCUAUAGCUGGUUUUAGAGGAUGAUCAGCAACACUGGGACUGAGACACGGCCCAGACUCCUACGGGAGGCAGCAGUGGGGAAUCUUAGACAAUGGGCGCAAGCCUGAUCUAGCCAUGCCGCGUGUGUGAUGAAGGUCUUAGGAUCGUAAAGCACUUUCGCCAGGGAUGAUAAUGACAGUACCUGGUAAAGAAACCCCGGCUAACUCCGUGCCAGCAGCCGCGGUAAUACGGAGGGGGUUAGCGUUGUUCGGAAUUACUGGGCGUAAAGCGCGCGUAGGCGGAUUGGAAAGUUGGGGGUGAAAUCCCGGGGCUCAACCCCGGAACUGCCUCCAAAACUAUCAGUCUAGAGUUCGAGAGAGGUGAGUGGAAUUCCAAGUGUAGAGGUGAAAUUCGUAGAUAUUUGGAGGAACACCAGUGGCGAAGGCGGCUCACU
rnacentral:rRNA from 1 species